rnacentral:tRNA from 1 species
GAAAGGUUCCUUUUUGAGGGUACUCCCGGGAACAGAUCCAGUGGAGACGGGGUGGGGCCUGUAGCUCAGAGGAU